UUAAGUAUGUUUGAAUUCUCUAUGCAAUUGGAAUUGUUUGGGUUUUGAGAAAAUCUGUCGUUUUUGAGUAGUUAAUCAGUGUUAAAUUAUCAGAGAAAUUUGGGUGAAAAUUAACAUAAACACAAUAAACAAAAGACAAAUGUUGCUUAUUAACUGAUUGUUAUUUUUCAUUAAUGUUGAUCUAUAAAUAAAAAUAAUUGUUCAAAAUAAAAUCAAACAAUUAACAGGUUUAAUUAAUUAAAAAUGCCUUUCAUGAGACAUAAACUUGAAGUUUCAGCAUAGUUAUCUCCCUUUACGGUACUCUCUAGGGAAUGAGACACAUAAGGUACAUGCAUGAAUAUGGCAGCUUCCAGGCAUGGUGAAAGAUUUGACUUUUCAAGGUCAUGCACUUCUGUUGCAUGUGGAGGACUUACAGAAAGUAUAUAUUCAUGUCGAAAAAAAAAUAUUGUCACACUUGGUGCAUUGUCAAGCUGUCCCUAAACAACAUCAAGUGACAAUACCCGAGGGCGUUCUCUUGCUUUACCAAAGUUACAAAAGAGUAUGUAAAUUUCAAAAUAUGUCAAACGAGUCACAGAAAUAGUCUUUGUACUUAUUGGUACAAGACUCUAGGCGAUGUUCACACCCGUUGCACCCACCAGACCAGAAGGAGAAACCAGACAGAGGAGUUAAUUGCCCCGUUUCCAAAGAGAUAUGGCUACAAGAGAGGAUACUUGUACCUGUUGGUUUAUGAAGGAAUCGUUCUGAAAGGCACAGAAAAACUUACUCCACUAAAGUGGACAUUGAGGUUGAUCAUUGAUGAUAGGUUCAAGCUGAAUUUUUUAAGCUUGGUACUGAGGAUAUUGAAGAGAAAAUAGAAUGUGACAAUGAACAGUGUCCAGCUGUUUCUCAACACACCUCAGGGGUGGAAGAGCAAUCCAGUCAGAAUACAGAGUUUUGUCUGAGUCAGUCAUCCUAAGGAACUGUAUGUGACUACUGGAGACGACCCACAUACUAUCGAGAAAAGCUAAACAGGAGUAUGAAACUGUCUGAUGGUAAAUUCACGCCCUUACGCUUCACCCUGAAUACAUCAUUAGAUGAGGUACAGCAGUCUAUAAAAGACUAUGUGACACAGAAAGCCAAUGAAGUUAUUCAGUGUGCCUUUGAAUGCAUUGCACCUUGCAAGAAAAUGCUUUAAUGCACUUGUUAUAUAAAAAAUAUUACAUGCUGGAGGAAAAAAGAUAGAAACUGAUGCAUUUACAGAAGCCUUAAUAAAAGCAUACGAUCAGGAUCAUCAGGCUGAUGGGCAUCAGAGUCAAGUACAGAUUCUAUCAUUUUUUGUGAACAACUUUUCAAAAACUGAACUUUGUAAAAUGUCGCAUGGUUUAACAAAGUACAAAAUAGAUUGUGCAAGAAAAUAUGCAUCAACUAAUAUUGUCCUGGCUACUUUUUUCAUCCUUUGUUAAAACAAAACAGUGGAGCUACAGUCUCCUCAGAGACUACUGGUCUAUCCACAUGUACAGAAGUAUUUUUACCAAAAUGUUCAGUCACUGUACAUACAUUUUUGAAGUGAAAAUAUUGAUUUUUUAAAUAGUAGCCUAAUAUAGUUUAUAAAAGUAUGAAACAAAGGGAAAUAACUCUGUCGCAAAAAAUCACAAUUUUUUGGAAAAAUUCCUCAAUUUCAAAAUCGCACAGUGUCACCAAUAAUCAAAACCCGAAUAAUUGCCUGUAGGAAAUUAUUAUUAAGUUCACAAUCUUUAUCUUAAAACAAAAUAAUUUAAAAUCUAAGCGUCCAAACCCAGUUUUAAAACAUGUCCAAUAUCGACCCUUUUCCCACAUUUUUCAGUCUCUUUUAUAUCAAGAGUUAUUCCCCCUGUGUUUAAAUAUAGCAUUGAUUUUUAAGACAAAAAAAAUUUGUGCAAAAUGAAAUAAAUAAUAUAUAUUUUC